CGUGGGGGUGCUUACCAUGCAAGUCGAACGAUGAACCGGCUUCGGCCGGGGAUUAGUGGCGAACGGGUGAGUAACACGUGGGCAAUCUGCCCUGCACUCUGGGACAAGCCCUGGAAACGGGGUCUAAUACCGGAUACGAGCUCCUGCCGCAUGGUGGGGGUUGGAAAGCUCCGGCGGUGCAGGAUGAGCCCGCGGCCUAUCAGCUUGUUGGUGAGGUAACGGCUCACCAAGGCGACGACGGGUAGCCGGCCUGAGAGGGCGACCGGCCACACUGGGACUGAGACACGGCCCAGACUCCUACGGGAGGCAGCAGUGGGGAAUAUUGCACAAUGGGCGCAAGCCUGAUGCAGCGACGCCGCGUGAGGGAUGACGGCCUUCGGGUUGUAAACCUCUUUCAGCAGGGAAGAAGCGCAAGUGACGGUACCUGCAGAAGAAGCGCCGGCUAACUACGUGCCAGCAGCCGCGGUAAUACGUAGGGCGCAAGCGUUGUCCGGAAUUAUUGGGCGUAAAGAGCUCGUAGGCGGCUUGUCGCGUCGGUUGUGAAAGCCCGGGGCUUAACCCCGGGUCUGCAGUCGAUACGGGCAGGCUAGAGUUCGGUAGGGGAGAUCGGAAUUCCUGGUGUAGCGGUGAAAUGCGCAGAUAUCAGGAGGAACACCGGUGGCGAAGGCGGAUCUCUGGGCCGAUACUGACGCUGAGGAGCGAAAGCGUGGGGAGCGAACAGGAUUAGAUACCCUGGUAGUCCACGCCGUAAACGGUGGGCACUAGGUGUGGGCAACAUUCCACGUUGUCCGUGCCGCAGCUAACGCAUUAAGUGCCCCGCCUGGGGAGUACGGCCGCAAGGCUAAGACUCGAAGGAAUUGACGGGGGCGCGCACAAGCGGCGGAGGGUGUG
rnacentral:rRNA from 1 species